rnacentral:rRNA from 2 species
GGGUUGUGAGGUUAAGCGAACAAGCGUACACGGUGGAUGCCCUGGCAGUCAGAGGCGAUGAAGGACGUGCUAAUCUGCGAAAAGCGCCGGUAAGGUGAUAUGAACCGUUAUAACCGGCGAUGUCCGAAUGGGGAAACCCGGUGCACUUCGGUGCAUCAUCGUUAGCUGAAUACAUAGGCUAACGAAGCGAACCGGGGGAACUGAAACAUCUAAGUACCCCGAGGAAAAGAAAUCAACCGAGAUUCCCCCAGUAGCGGCGAGCGAACGGGGAACAGCCCAGAGCCUGAAUCAGCUUGUGUGUCAGUGGAACGGUCUGGAAAGGCCGGCGAUACAGGGUGACAGCCCCGUACACGAAGGCACACAGGCUGUGAGCUCGAUGAGUAGGGCGGGACACGUGAUAUCCUGUCUGAAGAUGGGGGGACCAUCCUCCAAGGCUAAAUACUCCUGACUGACCGAUAGUGAACCAGUACCGUGAGGGAAAGGCGAAAAGAACCCCGGCGAGGGGAGUGAAACAGAACCUGAAACCGUGUACGUACAAGCAGUGGGAGCCUUCGUAAGAGGGUGACUGCGUACCUUUUGUAUAAUGGGUCAGCGACUUAUAUUCUGUAGCAAGGUUAACCGUAUAGGGGAGCCGAAGGGAAACCGAGUCUUAACCGGGCGUUAAGUUGCAGGGUAUAGACCCGAAACCCGGUGAUCUAGCCAUGGGCAGGUUGAAGGUUGGGUAACACUAACUGGAGGACCGAACCGACUAAUGUUGAAAAAUUAGCGGAUGACCUGUGGCUGGGGGUGAAAGGCCAAUCAAACCGGGAGAUAGCUGGUUCUCCCCGAAAGCUAUUUAGGUAGCGCCUCGUGAACUCAUCUCCGGGGGUAGAGCACUGUUUCGGCUAGGGGGCCAUCCCGGCUUACCAACCCGAUGCAAACUGCGAAUACCGGAGAAUGUUAUCACGGGAGACACACGGCGGGUGCUAACGUCCGUCGUGAAGAGGGAAACAACCCAGACCGCCAGCUAAGGUCCCAAAGUCAUGGUUAAGUGGGAAACGAUGUGGGAAGGCCCAGACAGCCAGGAUGUUGGCUUAGAAGCAGCCAUCAUUUAAAGAAAGCGUAAUAGCUCACUGGUCGAGUCGGCCUGCGCGGAAGAUGUAACGGGGCUAAACCAUGCACCGAAGCUGCGGCAGCGACACUAUGUGUUGUUGGGUAGGGGAGCGUUCUGUAAGCCUGCGAAGGUGUGCUGUGAGGCAUGCUGGAGGUAUCAGAAGUGCGAAUGCUGACAUAAGUAACGAUAAAGCGGGUGAAAAGCCCGCUCGCCGGAAGACCAAGGGUUCCUGUCCAACGUUAAUCGGGGCAGGGUGAGUCGACCCCUAAGGCGAGGCCGAAAGGCGUAGUCGAUGGGAAACAGGUUAAUAUUCCUGUACUUGGUGUUACUGCGAAGGGGGGACGGAGAAGGCUAUGUCAGCCGGGCGACGGUCGUCCCGGUUUAAGCGUGUAGGCUGACUUUCCAGGCAAAUCCGGAAAGUUAAGGCUGAGGCGUGAUGACGAGGCACCACGGUGCUGAAGUGACAAAUGCCCUGCUUCCAGGAAAAGCCUCUAAGCAUCAGGUAACAUCAAAUCGUACCCCAAACCGACACAGGUGGUCAGGUAGAGAAUACCAAGGCGCUUGAGAGAACUCGGGUGAAGGAACUAGGCAAAAUGGUGCCGUAACUUCGGGAGAAGGCACGCUGACAUGUAGGUGAAGCCCCUGCGGGUGGAGCUGAAGUCAGUCGAAGAUACCAGCUGGCUGCAACUGUUUAUUAAAAACACAGCACUGUGCAAACACGAAAGUGGACGUAUACGGUGUGACGCCUGCCCGGUGCCGGAAGGUUAAUUGAUGGGGUUAUCGCAAGAGAAGCUCCUGAUCGAAGCCCCGGUAAACGGCGGCCGUAACUAUAACGGUCCUAAGGUAGCGAAAUUCCUUGUCGGGUAAGUUCCGACCUGCACGAAUGGCGUAAUGAUGGCCAGGCUGUCUCCACCCGAGACUCAGUGAAAUUGAACUCGCUGUGAAGAUGCAGUGUACCCGCGGCAAGACGGAAAGACCCCGUGAACCUUUACUACAGCUUGACACUGAACAUUGAGCCUUGAUGUGUAGGAUAGGUGGGAGGCUUUGAAGCGUGGACGCCAGUCUGCGUGGAGCCAACCUUGAAAUACCACCCUUUAAUGUUUGAUGUUCUAACCUGGCGCCGUGAUCCGGCGUGGGGACAGUGUCUGGUGGGUAGUUUGACUGGGGCGGUCUCCUCCCAAAGUGUAACGGAGGAGCACGAAGGUCAGCUAAUCCUGGUCGGACAUCAGGAGGUUAGUGCAAUGGCAUAAGCUGGCUUGACUGCGAGAGUGACGGCUCGAGCAGGUGCGAAAGCAGGUCAUAGUGAUCCGGUGGUUCUGUAUGGAAGGGCCAUCGCUCAACGGAUAAAAGGUACUCCGGGGAUAACAGGCUGAUACCGCCCAAGAGUUCAUAUCGACGGCGGUGUUUGGCACCUCGAUGUCGGCUCAUCACAUCCUGGGGCUGAAGUAGGUCCCAAGGGUAUGGCUGUUCGCCAUUUAAAGUGGUACGCGAGCUGGGUUUAGAACGUCGUGAGACAGUUCGGUCCCUAUCUGCCGUGGGCGCUGGAGAAUUGAGGGGGGCUGCUCCCAGUACGAGAGGACCGGAGUGGACGCAUCACUGGUGUUCGGGUUGUCAUGCCAAUGGCACUGCCCGGUAGCUAAAUGCGGAAGAGAUAAGUGCUGAAAGCAUCUAAGCACGAAACUUGCCCCGAGAUGAGUUCUCCCUGAGACUAUAAGUCUCCUGAAGGAACGUUGAAGACGACGACGUUGAUAGGCCGGGUGUGUAAGCGCAGCGAUGCGUUGAGCUAACCGGUACUAAUGAACCGUGAGGCUUAACCUUACAACGCCAAAGAAGU